rnacentral:rRNA from 1 species
CCUACGGGUGGCACAGUGGGGAAUAUUGCACAAUGGGCGCAAGCCUGCUGCAGCCAUGCCGCGUGUGUGAAGAAGGCCUUCGGGUUGUAAAGCACUUUCAGCGGGGAGGAAGGCGUUAAGGUUAAUAACCUUGGCGAUUGACGUUACCCGCAGAAGAAGCACCGGCUAACUCCGUGCCAGCAGCCGCGGUAAUACGGAGGGUGCAAGCGUUAAUCGGAAUUACUGGGCGUAAAGCGCACGCAGGCGAUCUGUCAAGUCGGAUGUGAAAUCCCCGGGCUCAACCUGGGAACUGCAUUCGAAACUGGCAGGCUAGAGUCUUGUAGAGGGGGGUAGAAUUCCAGGUGUAGCGGUGAAAUGCGUAGAGAUCUGGAGGAAUACCGGUGGCGAAGGCGGCCCCCUGGACAAAGACUGACGCUCAGGUGCGAAAGCGUGGGGAGCAAACAGGAUUAGAUACCCCGGUAGUC